CAGUUCCUGGAAAAGGAAGGCGCCUCUUAAAGAAUCUCUCGUCCGCUCCAACCAUGUCAGACCGGUAACUUCCCAUACCAAAACUAGUAUCUCAUAUCUGUGUAAAAAGUACCUUUUUGGUAGCUUGUGUGAUUUGUAAUGGGGAAUGAUCUGUCUCUCUGACACGCACAUGCAAAGGCAUAACAAUAGUGAAGUGGUUAUGGAAUUGAUUUUAUGAUCGAGAUGUUUAACAAUAGCAUAUCCGAAAUUGUGGUAAGGUACUUAACCUCAUCUGCUUCUAAAAGUAUCAAUAGGUAACAUGUAUUAAUAUGUGCACGUGUACCUUUAAGUGUAAAUGUUGUUCUACUGACCUUUGACUUCUAACUUCAGGCUACAGAACAAGCGAUAUCGCAGAACAGACUUCCCCUUGUUGAGUGUCCAGGAAAUAGGAUACCAGCGAAGCUUGGUCGCGCAGGACGACAACAGCCCACUAAGACUGGGAGGAGAGAAGCCGCCCCCAAGGUCUUGAACCCCAGCAUGACGGCCUGGGAAGUCCAGUCUUUGUCUGAACCCUCCUUCGCGCGCAUCGACCUUCCCCCUCCGACCACUCAUGUGCCACUGCCAUUGGACAGCCCACACGUUCCCGAGCCAAUGGGAGUCCCAGCUAUAAGCCCCGCCCAUAGCCCCCUAGCCGUCACGCCCCCGGGCACUGAUAAAUUCACGAAAGUGUUCCAUAAGCCUCCUGUCCAGUGCCGCCCGCCCCGCCUGCCCCCUCUGCGGCCCGUCACCAACGCCAGCUUCUCACGCAGUUUCACCUUCUCCUUCUUCGAGCUCCCGCUGCACCUGUCCGCUCGUGGCCGCGCCGAGCGCAUCUCACUGCUGCACCGGGUCCAGAACUGACUGCCAGGGCUGCAGCCAAGCCCUUGCUUCUUGUUCAGUGAUACUGGCGGCCAUUACAGGCCGCAUCAGCCACAGUACAGUGAGAUCCCAGACUGGUUCGUACUGAAUACCACCAUAGUGACAAUGCAGUGUUUCCACCACAGUUUUGGUUUGUUUGUUGGCUUAUUUGUGUGUGUUGUGCAGAAGAUGUGGUUUGUGAGUGUACAGUACAUGUACAGUUAGCAUAUAUACCCGUGUUGCGCAGAUAGUACCAAUUGUGUGUUGGUACAUGUUGUUUAUUCAGUAGAUGCUUUUGUCCAAAGUGACAUAGAGGUGAGGAAAGCUUGGGGUCAGAGCACAAGAGCAUGCCUGAAGGAGUUUGGGUUAAGAGCCUUGCUCGAGCGCCCAACAGUCGGUGUCAUUAGUCUGCUGCCCAUGGGAUUUGAACCCAAGACCUUCCGGAUCCUUAACCUGCCAAGUUACACUCUGUCCACAAUGGUGAUUUUCCUAAUUAUGGGUCGACUUCUCAAUUAGGUUUGUCAGUGGGGUGCUUGCUGUCGACAGUGGCAUUGUACUAUGGAAUCAUCUUGGAAUAUCAUGGGGUCACCCAUCCAAUUACACCUGACUCCGACCCCCCCCUAAAGAGAGGGGGGACAUGAACAAGAUAUCCAUGGGCACACAGAGACUGAGAAGAACAAGUGGCCUAGGAAUUUGAAUGUAACAAGAUUUAACACUCCUUGUUCUUAGUGCUUUUUGGUAAAACACUGUGUGGUUGUUGCAUAGCGCAAUCUGGUGCCAGCACACGGCAACCGUCUGUACCUGUACACACCCAGCGGCUGAACCGGUCCACGUGAACAGAACGCUUGCACACGCGCACACACCCUGCUGCCGCGUGCAUGCACCAGCUGACGAAACGCUGCGGUGGGAAUCACAGGCUUUGGGAGCGAUAUAUGGGCUUUGAGUGAUAAUCCACAAGACGCCACGCCCUGCGCUGCCUACUUCACAGGACGAUUGGACAAGCACUCUGCUCCUGAGGUCACCAUGCAUUAGAUAAGAAGGAGCUUGAGUUCUUUGGAGUUUAUUCUCUUUGCAUUCUAAAUAUAAAAUAACCUCUCCUAUAGCCUCCCCUACCUGAAUGUACUAAUGCAACAUAUUGAAGUUGUAUGCACAACUGUUACAAAUAUGAAUAAUUCUUUGUGAAAC